UACGAAGGGUGCAAGCGUUACUCGGAAUUACUGGGCGUAAAGCGUGCGUAGGUGGUUUGUUAAGUCCGAUGUGAAAGCCCUGGGCUCAACCUGGGAAUGGCAUUGGAUACUGGCAGGCUAGAGUGCGGUAGAGGGCAGUGGAAUUCCCGGUGUAGCAGUGAAAUGCGUAGAGAUCGGGAGGAACAUCUGUGGCGAAGGCGACUGCCUGGACCAGCACUGACGCUGAGGAGCGAAAGCGUGGGGAGCGAACAGG
rnacentral:rRNA from 1 species